UUGUUUCACGUUAUUAAACAAAAGGGCCCAUAUGUUUUUACGGUUAAUUCUAUGUCUGUGGUCUUCUGUGUUCUCUUGCACGUACCAGACAUAAAAUACAUGCUUCACAUCCAUCCAGACUCUGCUCACGCCAGCAGAGAGAGGGAAACGCAUGUGGACUGGCCGAGGCUCUGUAAUUUAACAGGUAUUGGCAAGCAACUGGACUGAGCAGAACCUAAGCAAGGGUGUCCCUAAGAACGUACAACUCAAAAUGUUGAUAUUCUCUUUAAGAAUCCUAAAACACAACCCCUUCUCAUGAGGCUCCUGGCUCCUUCUUACCCACGCGGGCACUGCUGCCCUCUGCAAGGCCGGGAAGAAGAGUCUCGGCGGGCUCCAGUGCGGGCACACGCGGGAGCCCUGCCGCAGGGGCGCUCCCGCAGACCCUUCUUCCAGGCCCUCCAAACACUUACAUGGGCUGCUUUGUCAGAGAUAGACCCGGUCUUCGCCUCCCUGCCUCCAAGGACCCAUCAACCUCCAGUCUAAAAGGGAUAGACGAUUUUUCCUAUUAAAACAACUCUUUGGUCAUGGACAAACUAAAAGAUUUGAAUUUUUUUUUUCAUUAGGAUCCUGGAACAAGGUUUCUUUGUAUUUAAUCUUUAAAAAACUUAAGGAAGAAGAGCAGAAAAACAGCUGGUUUAAUUGAAGUGGAAUUUAAAUCUAAAAGGUCCGCCUGAGCUGAAGGGAUUGAACCCCUGCCAUGAGUUCCAGCUCCUGUGGAAAGGGCUUCCACCACCUCCUUGUUGGCUCUCUGCAUCCAGCGGAUCUUCUCCGUCAUCAAACUUCUUCCUCAUUUCUAGGAACGAAACGAGCAAAUUAAGACCCAGGUAUUCACUAAGCACGGGGAGGGGGAGGCUUCCUCUCCUCUUAUCCAAACAGUUGUGCCUGAUACACAUCCCGUUCCCACCCAGCGCCGAGGUUUGGUCUCAGGAGAAAGGUCCUAGAGGGGACCCAUCACGGAGAAGGGGUUCAUGUUCAGGGCUGACAAUGGGAAUUCAUUGAAAUUCAGGCCCCCUGAAUCUUCUCACCUCACAAGCAUCUACCCAAGGAAAUUCUUCUCUGAAAAAAAAUAAUUGCAGAGGAGGAGACCUCCAAAAGUCCCCACUCAAAAAGCCAUGUCACCAUCCUGGCCCCAGCAAUGCAGUCCCAACGUCGCCAACACUCCAAGCAUCUUUCUGGGCCUCCGUCUUAGAUCCGAGCAGAACUAAGGUUCCCUGGCGUACAGCUCAGGAGGCCACCCCCACUGCCAUGCCCAGCGGUCCUGAGGAAGGUCUCCGAUGAGACCGAGACUAAUGCCAACAAAUGGGACAGAGGAACACUUCCGGGGGGGGGGGGGGGCAGGCGGGCAGGAGAGCAGACUAACAUCCUCAGAGACCAAAAGAACUAUUUCAUCCUUAAAAUAAGAACAGGGGCUAAGAAAAAGCAACAGAACACAAAAGAACCCUUAGUAAUGGCAACCGCAGUUCCUGAUGCCUCUGUGCCCGCCCCCCUCCCGCGUGCACGGGGCAAGCUCGGAGGACAGACCAAGGGGCUGCCGGCCCUCAGCUGCUGAGUAAAAGAACAGAGCAUCCUGCUGUACUCCGUAAGUACAGCUCUACCUCUCUUGCAGGAUCAUAAAUGAGCACAGAGGCUCAUAAAGCUUCGCUUCCAUAGCAGAAGCAGAUGUUCAAAAAAGACUUGCCAAAUGGGCAUAAAAUGUCAUUUCCUUCUAUUUCUGAUGAAUUUGUCUAGCCCUAGUCCUAGCUCCUGCCGACAUGGAAAGACGUAAAGAAGGAGUAGUUAUUAGCUUAAUAUUCAAUUCCCUCUGCAAAUCUCUAAACAUUGUUCACUAUUACCUAAUUUCCUUGCCUUCUCUCUCAUUUUCCAGGCCAUUUUAGCAUAUGAUAAAAGCAUUUCCAGCAACCAGAAAAUCUAAUGAACAUUUGACUUAGGGCAAGAUUCCUGAGGAACACAGGAUAAGCAGCCCCAGGCUAGUGGAAGAGCUGAGACUCUUGAGACUCAACAAGCCCUAGUCACUUGUGCAGAAGAGAGGAGUCGAACCAGGCUUCCUGCUUCCGUGUUUGCUGGUCUUCCCACUGCGCCGGGCCCACGGGGGCCGAGUCUGGCAGGGGCAGGCCUGAAACUGGACUUCUGGAACUGCCAGGCUGGGGAGCAGACCCCAGCUCCGGGGGGGCAGCUUGGCCACCGCCCACGUGUGACACUGGGAACAGAGCUAGUAAGUCACCAACCACUGACUCAGCCACUUCGAGAGACAAACAAUACCUGGAUCAGAGAGAACUUCUUUAGCAGCUGCUAUGUCAAUGAACUUUUUCUCCGCUUUUUUCUUUUCUUCUUCAUUCUGGAAGUUAUCUGGGUGCCACUGCAGUGCUAGUUUUCUGUAUGCUUUAAUGAUUUCUUGCUUUUUGGCGUUUCUGAGUAGUAUUAAAAUUAACGCUCAUUAGUCAAAAAGUGCCCGACAUACCACCCCCAAAAACUGAGAGACAGUUAUGAUCCCCCUGGCAAAUCAGCAGCCUGGUUUUCCUAACCGUGCCAAUGUUGUCCGGUUCUAGGUGAUCAUUAAAGCUGGUCAGGCUUCAGAAUCUCAAUGGGAAGAAAUUACUUUUGAUCUUUGUGAUCUUUUUCUCUUUUUAAAAAAAAAGAGAAAGCUGCACAGACCCAUUUUUAAACUUUCUGGAUUUCCAAACUACCUGAUACAAUUCUUGGCAUUAAGAGCUAACUCUGACUCUGAACCACACUUCCUGUUUUGCUUCUGGUUAGCUUCCUUAGUUCUGGUUCAGACUUUUGAUUGAAAGAUGGAUGGUUCCCUUGCUCAGGGAAGGUGGAUCUUGUAUAAUUUACCCAGCUUUUGUCUAUCUCAGUGCCUGUAAGUUAAUUCUCAAAGUGCCUAGAGAAGUUUGCUUUUCCAAAACCCUCCUGUCCCCACCAAAAGAAAGCUCACUCCUCUUUACCCUUCCCAAAAAAUCUGGGCUAGGGCCUACUCAUGCUACAUUGUCAUCCCUCUGUCACCAACUACUUAUUCCCCCAUCGUUUCAGAACUAGUCUAAAGAAAUCUACCUGUAACAAAAUGAUGGUUACGAUGUGAAAGAUGCUUAGGUUUAAUCCUGGACUGAAAUUACAUAAAGCAAGGAACCGAAUCAAAGGAGAAAAAAGAGCAAUGAUAAGCUUUAAAACAGUUCAUUAAAAAUAACAAUGUAAAUUUUAAAUAACUCACCUUUUUACUCCUAAGAUUUUAUAAUAAUCUCGUUUCUGCGACUGUUUCAAUAGCCUCUGUGCCUUCUCUAGACCUUCCCGAAUCUGCUGAUCAUUUUCAUUGUGUUCCUGCGCAGUUUCAUAAUCCUGAAUAGCUGUCAAAAUGUUUAAGAUAAUGCUGUUAAAGGAACUGGAAUUUAUAAACUCUACUUAUCCUGUAAGAUUGAUACUCAAGUCACCAUCUCAGCCCCUUCACUCUUUUGCCAUUAUUGCUAAGAGCCUAAGAGGGACGGUGAUGAUUUUGUUAGCCAACUUACAAAAGGCCUAAUGAAGGCUGAAUUUAGGUAGCUUUUUACUCCCAUUCAAUAAAACUCACUGCUGUUUAUUCGCCCAUCUUCCCACCGCCACACCUUCAUAUCCGUACUUUAUACAAAGCAGUCUUUCCAUCACUACGACUGAACUGAUCGUUACAUAGGAAAAUAAGAAUGUGGCAAAGAAAAUCUGCAUGGUCAGCUACAGGUCCACAAUUCAGAAGAAUCAGAGGCUUAGAAAGGGAGCAAGAAGAACCAUCAGCAAUCAGAAUGUCUAAGUCAUCUAGGGGUUUCAAAAGGAACUAUUACAAACCUACUGUUUUUAAGCUAUCGAUCAAAGCAGAUGACAUUGUCCUGAUAUGGGAAGUCUGGUAACAAUCCAUAUUACAGUUUUUGCCUUAUUUUAGAAUACUAUCUAGAACACAAGGCAUCAGGAUAUCUAAGUCAUGUAGAAAAGAGUCAACGUAGCAAGCCUGAGACUGUUACCCUUAGAAAGGCCUCCUGGCAAGGUUGGUCCUGGCUGGCAGAUCAGAAGACGGCCUUCAGGAGCGUUCCCACCAUUUCCUGGUAAGAAUGGCUCACUGUGCCUCAAUGUUUGUACAGACAAUGUGGUUUACGUUACACAUCGUCUUUCUUUCUGGGAAUCUGAGUGCUAGCAGGGCAGAAGGUGCCUGGCUGACCAACCCCUCAUGAAUGCCCCGGACACGGGUGCUCUAGCAAGCUUCCCCAGCAGACAGCACCUUGCACGUCUUAAGGAAUUACAGCUUGUCCUAUGAUUUCAAAGAGAAAGACUCUUGGAAUCUUCUACCUGCUUUUCUCUGGAUUUUGUGCCAUGUGUCUUUUCCCUUUGCUGAUGUUACUGUAUCCUUUCAGUAGAAUAAAUCUUAGCCUGGGUA